rnacentral:piRNA from 1 species
UAUCCCAACUUUGUAUAAAGUGAAACGAGA